GAUUAAAUUUCUGCCAAGAAGUACAUGGUGACAAAGAACAGACACUCCAGAGACAGACCCUUUGGCUUCUAACCUGCCUUUCCCACUUAAUGGAGGCAUGACCUUGGAAUAAAUCCUACCUGCAGAAGUCUGGGGGCACCAUGCCAUAAACAUUGAUCCUGUCACAGAGCUCCAGUGCAAUUGUCAUUGUAAACCAGCCAGUGCUGAGCCAAGUGUUGGAUAUCUUCCUGGAAGGAACAAUAAUUAAGUCUGCAAGCUGCUUGGAGCAGGCUACAGGUAAAGAAUAUUAAGUCAAUAGAGUAUUGGCUUCUUUAAGACUGUUUCCCGAAGGCAAGAGGCACAAAGUUUCUGGAAGCAGCAGUGUACUCUGGCAUCCUCCACAUUCAUAAGUGUGAUUCCCCUGAGUAGGGACUACGUGGACCCUGGCAGAUGGAUGUCUGUGGAAAGAGUCCCACCAGCCACUCCACAAAGCUUUGGCUCCCUCCGUACCAGCCAGGACGACCAGGAAGAAAGACCUGGAUUGUGCAACCAUCACCACUAAUUUCAGAACAUUUUCAUCACUUUGAGAAGAAAUCCCUAUCCAUCUAUCUCCAUCUCUAUCAAACUGAAAUAAAAGUUUCAUGAAACAAUACCUUACCUAACUUACUAUGUGGGAUGAAUGCUGAUAAUGUCUUUUCUAUUCUACUCUGUUCCAUUUUAUCCCAUUCUUCCCAUUACUUUAGAAAAAAAAUCUUUCAGUGCCUCACUACAUUGAUUUCGUGUCUUAAUAUGGAGUUGUAGCUAACAGUUUGGGUUUCCAUGGGCUAGGGCCCAUGGCACAUCUACAGCACCAUUUUCUUCCCUCUCAAGACCCUCAGUGCACUGGCUACUACUUGGUAAGUGUCCAAGGCUUUAUAUACUUGUGUUUGACUGUUUCCCCAGGGCCAAGCACAGUGAUGAGCAAGUAGUGGGCACUCAAGAAAUAUUGGUUGACUAAAUAAAUGUUUGCCUUUGAAUGGGAAAAAAUAAACCCAUAUACUUUUUUUUUGGUGAGGGUUUAUGCAAGUAAAAUGAAAUGCAAUAAAGCUGUUAUACUGCACUUUUAACCAAUGAAGGCCAGGAGCUGUGUAGCCUCUUCCUCAAAAAUAAGGCCCUGAAAUAUCCAUAUAAUUAUCUCCAUGCUUCUUUUCACUUUGUCUUGUAAAGUCAGCUUGAGCAGCCCAGUCACGCAGAGGACCCUACAAGUGAACUCUAGCAAUGACAUGAGCAGUGGAGCCCACAACAAAAGCCUGUAGCAAAAGCUUUGCUUUGGCAUUCAGAUGCUGGGUUGAUGAAUCACUAAGUGGAACACAGGGAGGUGAACUUGAAUCUCUGCCCGUCGGCCUGGGAGAUGAUGUACUGCCGAAGACACAAGAGGGGAGGUGGCUCCAGCGGGCUCUCCGCUGAGCAAGGCCUUCUCUCUGACUUUUUCCUCAUAGUGUUCAGCCUCCCCGAUUCUUUGGAACAUUUUCCGUAAAGCCUCAUUUGGUGAGACACUCUGUUCCUUCUUAGGAAACAUAGGCAUCUAUCUUAGUUCACUCCUAGAUUAGUAGUCUCUCUUCCAUCCUGACUCAUAAGAAAAAUCAUUUAAUUAAUACUGAAUAGAUGGAUGAAUAAAUGAGUGAAUGAAACCCAACCCCCUGCCUUAUCUAUCCUCUGAGAAACCUACCUGCUGCCACAUACAAAGUAGACAUAAUGUGAUGCCAUAACCAAUUAUUUGGCUGUAAACCCCAGGCCUUGCUAAAGAUGCCACAAAGAGAAAGGGUGGUAGGCUGUGGAAACCUCUGUCUGCAGAGGAGGCUGUGGCCAUUUGCCACUGGGCAGCCUCUCAGCCCAGGGAACCAUAAUGACCAGAGUCCAGGGCACUGCCUGGAAUUAAUGGCUGGCUGGGAAAAUGGCCCGGGACACAGUAAGGACCAUUAAGCCCAGCCAGUUAUUAAUCCCCAGUAAGAGCUUGAUGCCAAGGUCAUUAGAGCUGUUGUGAGGUGAAAAAUGCCCAGGAAAAUGCACAGCACAUGGAAGAGUGACUGUUCUCCAGGCUGCUGAUGCUCAGAGCUACAGCCCAGGCCCCCAGAAGCCAGCAUGCUGUACAGGAGCCAGUGGGAGGCAGGUGGGUGGGGUCUCUAGAGGGAGUGUGCAGAUACACACACACAUGUGAAUGCACACUCAGAUCUUACCAUUUUAUUUUUGCUGUCUCUUUUGUGCUUUGGUAAUUUUAAGUAUUUGCCAUCAUCCCAGAAUCUAAGAUACUAUCUGCAAUUUAGAGGAGGACUCAUGAAUAUUUUAGAAUGUGUGAAUGAGUUUCUCCUUCCAUCACCCCUGCCCACCCCCAGCAACAACAACAAAAACCAGCACCAUCACCAACAAAACCCCCAAACAUACCUAAAAUAAUGGAAUAGCGAAGCAUGACAACUUUCAUCACAACUAACUCCUUUGGGCUGUGGUGACAGGAGCAAUCCCUUCUUGGGAAGCGUGCUCAGGGAAUCAAGGUCUGAUUUCUGUCACAGCCUGAAGAGCAAGAGCAGAAGGAAUUCUCCCUGUGACCUGGCUGACUGCUCUGGAGCCUUCCUUAAGAGAAUAGGCCAGGCCAACUGAAAUUAAACUUGACACCUAAAACACUCAGCGAUGUCCUUGUAAACAUUUGCAGCAUGGCAAUAUCAGGCUUCCGUUUUUAAAAUUCUGAUAUAUUUGGCAGAGGGAAAAGUACCUCAGAGCAUAAUGUCCAUUAGCUCAGUAAUGAGACCGGUCUUGCUCUGGGAGCUGCCUGUUAGUCUGGAGCAAACAUAAGACAUAUUAAAUGGCUUCAGGUGUUUCAAGAAUCUCUGUACUUUCCAAUCUGAUGUUUUCCUGUAAUUACUGUGCUUUUUAUUAGCUGUCAAUCUCAGUUCAGGCUGACACUGGGUAUAAGCCAUGCUGAUUAUUUAAUGUGAUUCACUAGAAAAGUGUUACUCUUCCAAGCUGUUCCUUUCUUUUUUGUUCUAUGACAAGCCCACCCACCAGCCUUCACUGCCAAGAAGUCUUUCUGUCUCCACCCAGUGAAUGCCACCUCAUCUGAUUUCCAUCUACUGGCUGGCCAAGGAUGCAAGAAAUCCGUGGGCAGAAGGCAGUACUGAGCAGUUUAGAAGAUAGUUUUUUGAGUCACUGACUUUGACUCUGCUUCUUCUACUCAUUAGAAAGGUAAUUUGAAGCAAAGUUGCUUAGCUUUUCUGAGCCCCAUUUUUCAUCUAUGACACGAAGAUAGUAAAGCCAAACUCAAAGGGAAGCUUUGCCAUCUCAAGUAAUGGUGCACCUUCUACCCAGGUGCUCAAGCCCAAAUUCAAGGAUCUUUCUUGAUACCUCUUUUUCUCUGCCCUUUACAACUCAGACAAUCCUGUUGGGUCUAUCCUACUACAUAUGCCCCAGAUCCUACCACUUCUCACCAUCCCUGCUGCCACCAUCUUCAUCUAAGCCCCCAUUGUCUUGUAGUUCCUGCAGCACUCUUAGCUCUUAAGUUCACUUCUUUUAUUCUAUCUUUUAUAUUUCUGUUCCUAUGUAGAUCCUAGGGUCCCCUUUAAUAUGUAAAUCAAAUUAUGUCACUCACCUGCUUAGAUCUUACUAUUUGCUUCUUAUUGCUUUUGGAAUAAGAAGCCAAACUUUAUUUUAUAUUUAUUUUUAUAUUUACUUUUAUAAUUUUAACUUUUAUUUUAGAUGCAGGGGUACACAUGCAGAUUUGUUACAUGGGUAUAAUGUGUGAUACUGAGUUUUGAGGCAUGAAUGAUCCCAUCACAAAUGUAGUGAGGAUAGUACUCAAUAGUUUUUUCAACUCUUGCCCCAUCACUCCUUCCCCACUCUAGUAGUCUCCAGUGUCUAUUUUGCCAUCUGUAUGUCCAUGAACACCCAAUGCUUAGUUCCCACUUAUAAGUAAGAACAUGUGGCAUCUGGUUUUCUGUUCUUGCACUAAUUCACUUUGGAUAAUGGCCUCCAGCUGUAUCCAUAUUGUUGUUGCAAAGGACAUGAUUUCAUUUUUCAUGGCUGUAUACUAUUCCAUGAAAAGCCAAACUUUAAACUGAGCUCUGUGUCAUGGCUCUCAAGAUCUGCAGCUUCUAUCCUUGUGUAUCCUUUCAGCAUCAUCCUGUACAGAACUCUCCCUUGCUUACACUGUCAUUUCUCUACUGCUUGCUGUCUGAUAUACUUUAUGUUAGCAAUUCCUCCCACCCAAGCCACUCUUCUCCUCAUGUCUGCAUGAUGACUUUUCCACGUGUUACCUCAGACCGCCUCCCCAGGGAGGCUUUCCUUGACCACUCAAUCUAAACUGUUCCCUUUCCCACCUACUGUAACUACCUCUCAUCAUCCAGGUUUUUGUUUAAAUUCAUGUAUCACUACCUAAAAUAAUCUUAAGAUAAUAUUUGUACAUCUACACGUUUAAGCUCCCCGAAAGGAGGGACUUUGUGUUAUUCACACAGUAUCUUCAGCACCAAGGACAGUGCCCAGCACAUAGAAGGUGUUCAACAAAUAUACUUUGCAAAGAAUAAGUGAAUGAUAAGCCAUGUAAAGCACUUAACCACAGUGUCUGGCACAUAAGGAGUGUGAAAUAGAUGUGUUUAUUGUGUUUUAAGUGUCCCCAUUCUUCCAGUAAGCAGUUCCUGAUCUUUUCUGACUGGGUAACUAGGAUAAUAUUUUCUAAAGCCCAGUAUUUGGAAUCUGCAUAUGUCAUAACCACCUUCAGCACUAAAUGACCUUCAGAGGGAGGUGCAGGAAAUCCCAUUAGUUUUUUUAUUUAAUUCCAUUCUAUUUGUAAAAUUAUUUUUAACAGCUUUAUUGAGAUUAAUUUGCAAACCAUAAAAUCCCUCAAUUUAAAACAUGAAUUAAAAAUAAUUUUUUUGUAUAUUUAGAGAGUUGGGCAACCAUCAGCAUGACCUAAUUUUAGAACAUUUCCAUCAUCCUGAAAAGAAAUCUCAUGUCCAUUUAUAGUCACUGUCCCUUCCAUGUCCAGCCCUAGGCAACCACUAAUCUACUUUUUAUCUCUAAAGAUUGGCCUUUUCUGGACAUUUCGCAUAAAUGGAACAAUAAAAUAUAUAGUCUUUUGUGUCUUGUUUCUUUCAUUUAGCAUAGUAAUUUUGAGGUUCAUCAAAAUUCAGCGUCAUCUUGUACAUAUACACAUAUGUAUCUAGCAUGUGUCAGUACUUUGAUUAUUUUUGUCCAUACCACAUUUUGUUUAUUCAGUCAUCAUUCGAUGUACAUUGGAUUUGUCUCCAUUUUUUGGUUAUUGUGAAUAAUGGUAUUAUAAACAUUCACAUACAAAUU
rnacentral:lncRNA from 10 species